AAAAAAAAAAGAAGAGUAAAAUAACUGGUCCUACCUCUUCGUGUACUUGACGGCCUAGAUCCACCUAGUCCAUUCCCAGGCCUACCAAUCCAGUUUCUGAAGAAAACCAAAACAAAAGAAUCUAUAAAAAUAACUUCCAUAAAGCGUAAAGCCGUUAGACGAGUAUUGCUUUUUAGGAUUGAAUUAUUUGUUUCUGUUCUAAACCAGAUGGAUAUUUGAGAAAAAGGACACGUGAAAGAUGGUUCCCUGACAAGUUCAGCACUCUGAAGCCUCACUUCGGACUUCUGAGGCUUCCAAUUGUUGUGUACGUUCACUGGUUACUGUUCCAAGUUCUGACCACAGUCCAAAAAGGGAAUGUUUAUAAUUGUGACCAAUUUCAAAGGACUACCACAGGCAGUAGUUCAACUUAGCGAUUACUGAAUCUAGAAGUCAAGAACUGAAAAUAACUAUUGUUUUGGAAUUGCAAGAACAAUUUGGUUUUAUACUUAUGUAAUAAAUUUAAGAAAAAAAAAUGUGCUGUGUUGUCCACUUCAGUCCCUAAGUUCACUCCUGUUUUCUUUUACAGCUCACCUCAUUAAGAAAACAUGUUUAUCUACUUUAUAAAUUAAAAGUAGCAAAUGUCGUGGUAGCCAUACUCCAAAAGAAGGAGAACCCAACUAGUUGUCCUGUAGUGGUAUCAAGGGAAAUCAGUAUCAUGUUGUACAACUAGCUUAUAUGUCUUUAAAACAUGUUUAAUUUCUUUCAAGAGUUAAUGCAAUGACACAUUCACAAUUAAAACACAUCCCAAGACCCCAACUUCCAUAGACAUGAGUCUGGUCACAUUAUACUAUGUGUACAAGGGAUUAUAAUAAUCAUUUUCAUACAUAUCUGUCGUCACAUAGUAGGUUAGCCUUAAGGGUACCCAUUUGAGAACUUGCAGUCAGUAGGGCAGGUGACGUAGUGAAGUGUGUCAUGUGGCCAGCACAACAAUCAACCGCCUUUAGUAUCUCAUUCAUAUCACAUAAGCAUAACAUAUAUAUAUGCAUGUAUCUGUGUAAUACAUAUAGAACUAACCCAAACUUUUUUAUUAAUUAUUUUCUUGAUUAAAAUUUGGUCGAUAAAAAUUUAUUCAAUUUGAUUUGAAAAGGCCUACGUUGAUUUAACCUCGCUUCUAGUAUUAGUUAUCUCUGUGUCUGACGUCUCACAUAUAGACGUCACUAGAGAACCCUCUCUUGAUUCUGUUCGGACAUAGUGCUAAUACUUGACAAGAAGACGCUCAUUGGAGCAGAACUGUUACUUCCCAUAACUUCGUUUGAUAAAGGAAUGUUAAGUGGCAGUAUUUAGCCCUGGAGCUAGAAAUGGCAGAAUUUAGCCUUAGUAGCUAGAAAUGGCAGAAUUUAGCCUUGGUAGCUAGAAGAGUGCUUUCCCUCUAACGUGUAAAUAGGAGCUGGGGAAAAAAUAGCAAUAAACAGUUUAUUAAAAUUGUCUCACAGUUUUUACAAAGAAACUUUACAAGAUUUAAAUCUAUAUAAUGUACUUACUAUACCGAGCAGCUUAUGUAGAAACAAUAAGAGAAGGUUACGUCUUGCCUAACUUGGGUUUAUUAGAAUUGUCCAAUAGUGUCUUUGGUGCUCAGUGGCUCAGUGGCGCUUUGCUUCCUAACAGAGGAGUUACAAGUUUGAAUCCCUAUUAUUUUGAACUGCGUCAUUUUUAGGAUGGCCUUGAGUCCAUCCAAUUCUAACUCUCGACAUUAGAGAAGUAACAGCGUUUUGUCGUUGUGCUGGCCACGUAAUACCCUCUUAAUAGUCAAUCCUAAAAAUAGAUGAACUUUACAUCAUCCACUGCUAGAGAUCGCAAUGUAUGAAAGAAGUACUUUGACUUGUAUCUUUAUUCCUAUGUCCCUUUGUUCCUAAAUAUCUCAAAUUAAUUUUUAGCUUAUCACAAGAAGAAAAUACUAUAUAAAUUGGCUAAAAUAAAUUUUAUUGAAAAAAAAAAUGUUUUAAAAUUAUGAAUAACACAAUGAAAUCAGUGGCGUACCAACCAUGUCAUUGCGCCCAUGCCAUCGAGUAAUAAGGACCCACAGGGACAAUUGAAAGGGAGAUGAUUACUUUGACCAGGCAUUAAGUGUCAUUGCACUAUUACUUGUAAAAAGUGGUACAUGGAUUGGAAAGUAUUUGUGUAAAUGUACUGAUAUAUAGACAAAACAA